rnacentral:rRNA from 1 species
UACGGAGGGUGCAAGCGUUGUCCGGAUUCAUUGGGUUUAAAGGGUGCGCAGGCGGGAGAUUAAGUCAGGGGUGAAAGACGGUGCUCAACAAUCGCAGUGCCCUUGAUACUGGUUUUCUUGGGUGACCUUGAGGUAGGCGGAAUGGGUGGUGUAGCGGUGAAAUGCAUAGAUACCACCCAGAACUCCGAUUGCGAAGGCAGCCUACUGGAGGUUAACCGACGCUCAGGCACGAAAGCGUGGGAUCAAACAGG